rnacentral:rRNA from 1 species
AGAGUUUGAUCCUGGCUCAGGACGAACGCUGGCGGCGUGCUUAACACAUGCAAGUCGAACGGAAAGGUCUCUUCGGAGACACUCGAGUGGCGAACGGGUGAGUAACACGUGGGUGAUCUGCCCUGCACUUCGGGAUAAGCCUGGGAAACUGGGUCUAAUACCGGAUACGACCACGAGAUGCAUGUCUUGUGGUGGAAAGCUUUUGCGGUGUGGGAUGGGCCCGCGGCCUAUCAGCUUGUUGGUGGGGUCACGGCCUACCAAGGCUCCGACGGGUAGCCGGCCUGAGAGGGUGUCCGGCCACACUGGGACUGAGAUACGGCCCAGACUCCUACGGGAGGCAGCAGUGGGGAAUAUUGCACAAUGGGCGCAAGCCUGAUGCAGCGACGCCGCGUGGGGGAUGACGGCCUUCGGGUUGUAAACCUCUUUCACCAUCGACGAAGGUCCGGGGUUUCUCGGAUUGACGGUAGGUGGAGAAGAAGCACCGGCCAACUACGUGCCAGCAGCCGCGGUAAUACGUAGGGUGCGAGCGUUGUCCGGAAUUACUGGGCGUAAAGAGCUCGUAGGUGGUUUGUCGCGUUGUUCGUGAAAACUCACGGCUUAACUGUGAGCGUGCGGGCGAUACGGGCAGACUGGAGUACUGCAGGGGAGACUGGAAUUCCUGGUGUAGCGGGAAUGCGCAGAUAUCAGGAGGAACACCGGUGGCGAAGGCGGGUCUCUGGGCAGUAACUGACGCUGAGGAGCGAAAGCGUGGGGAGCGAACAGGAUUAGAUACCCUAGUAGUCC